AAUCAAUUACAAAAACAACAAUCAUGGCAGACAAGAAGGAAAAAAUUGCUGCUGCUCGAAAAAAGCUCAAGCAGUAUCAAUCGAAGCAAAAGACCGAGAGUUCCGG